GAUGAAGAACGCAGCGAAAUGCGAUACGUAAUGUGAAUUGCAGAAUUCAGUGAAUCAUCGAAUCUUUGAACGCAUAUUGCGCUCUCUGGUAUUCCGGAGAGCAUGCUUGUUUGAGUAUCAGUAAACACCUCAACUUCCAUAUCUUUUUUGAAAUGGGAGUUGGACUUGAGUGAUCCCAACGCUUUUCCUCACCGAAAAGUGGCGGGUUACUUGAAAUGCAGGUGCAGCUGGACUUUUCUCUGAGCUAUAAGCAUAUCUAUUUAGUCUGCCUAAAAAACAGAGUAUUACCUUUGCUGCAGCUAACAUAAAGGAGAUUCGUUCUUGUGCUGACUGAUGCAGGAUUCACAAAGACAGGCUUCGGCCGACUUUGUAAACUCGAUCUCAAAUCAAGUAAGACUACCCGCUGAACUUAAGCAUAUCAAUAAGCGGAGGA
rnacentral:misc_RNA from 1 species